rnacentral:misc_RNA from 1 species
GUGGUUGUAAAGGGGGUUGGUGAAGAUAGGAAGGAAAGGGGUAAUUGGAGAGAGCAUGAAAUGCGUGAUUAAAUUGUAAAACACCUGAAUUUUCUAGAAUUUUUUAUUCAUUUUAGAGUGCUUGUAUCACGCUUCUAGGAAAUUGGAGUCAAUUGGCCACUUUUGCCAAGUUUAGAGUUUAGUUAACCCAACCUGCUGGGUUUAAUAGAAUCUUGUUGACCAGAUUAAGGGCAAAUUGACCUUUUGUUUGUUUUUCUUCACAUUAAAGUAGUUCCAAUAGAUGCAACUUUAAUUUUAUUGGAUGCUCCUUUAAUUUUAUUGGAUGCUCUAUGAAAAGUGAGUCCUCAUUUAUUUAUGUUGAGCUUGACAUCAUAGACGAAAUUUUU